UACGUAGGGCGCAAGCGUUGUCCGGAAUUAUUGGGCGUAAAGAGCUCGUAGGCGGCUUGUCACGUCGGGUGUGAAAGCUCGGGCUUAACCCCGGGUCUGCAUUCGAUACGGGCUGGCUGGAGUGUGGUAGGGGAGAUCGGAAUUCCUGGUGUAGCGGUGAAAUGCGCAGAUAUCAGGAGGAACACCGGUGGCGAAGGCGGAUCUCUGGGCCAUUACUGACGCUGAGGAGCGAAAGCGUGGGGAGCGAACAGG
rnacentral:rRNA from 1 species